CUGAUAUUAUGUAAAGUUACUAUGACUUUGCAGGAGUUAUUCAAGAGAAAAUUAAAAAAUAAAAUAAAAUAAAUAACCUAGCAAUGUUCAUAAGAAAAAUAUUUUCUUCAUUUUUAGCAAUAUUAAAUUAGAUCUGCAGCCUACCUUCUGAUUUCCAAAUUCAGCUAUUCAGAUAAUCAUGGAUAUCAAACUAACCAAAGUUGAUCAAAGAUGUUAAUCCAUUUUUUUCAGAGAAAAAAGUUAUUUUAAGAUCUCUGAUUCUCCUCCACCUUCUGGUACCAUUGAAUGAGCAAAGGUCAGACAGCUCGCAGAAUAGUCCUUCUAGGUCAGUCUACCACUAGUUCUCUCUGGUAGUUAAAGGAUAAAUUCUUCUAACAGGGAAAAUGACUGCUCAGCAACUCAGCCUCCUUCUGGGCCUGACAAUGGAAACCUAACCUUGCCAGCGUCCUAUGAAGAUAUAUGAUGAACAUUCC
ensembl:lncRNA